rnacentral:siRNA from 1 species
UACCUUUUGUCUUUUCACGGUUCC